ACCAAACCAUGGAUAUAUGAGCGCAAUGCAGCAUGUUGCUUCCCCAGACAUUAUUCUAAAAGAGGACUCUGCACAUGAAAAAACCUAACUGUUACACGUCAUCCUCAGAAACUGAACAAAUCCAGUAACAUUCCUUUUCUUAAUAUUUCUUGUUUAUAAAUCUCUGCAGCUUGGUUUUUACACGUGUGUGCUCUUAGGAUUGUGCUGAUGUGUUUUCAGCUGUAAGCAAACGCCAUCAGAUCUGUGAUAGUUGACACCUGUACUUUUUGUAUUGGAUGCAUGGCUGAAAACUUGGCUUGUCCUAUGUGCAGUUUUAUCAUUUUGUACAAAAGGCUGAAUUCUGCAACUAUUAUUGCAAAGUAAGAAUUUACUUCAAAAUUACGAUUUCAAAAAAAAGCUUUAGUACUUGAUUAUGACCAGUAAUGCUGAUAAAGUCAGUAGAAAUGCUGAUGUUAAAACAGAGAGAUGUUUGUCUAUGAGUUGAUAACUUAGAGCAUGUGAUUUUCCUUGAACAUAAUCAGUGUUCCUUUUUAACCUUUAAAUAUAUUGUUUUCAUAUUUACUUAAUUUUUCCACUUAAUUCCAGAAUAGUCAUUGUCUUUCAUCUCCAAUUCUAAGUUCUCAAUUCGGGGUUCAUUGUAAACCAUAGUUUUCUUUCCCAGUAACUUUGUGUCUCUCUUAGUUACGCGGGUUCUGGUGAGCUGCCAGCUCCUCACCAUGUUCUGCAGGACUGUGGUGAUCACGCAGCGCACUUCAUUGUACUAUUUGUUUACUGAUAAGGAGCAUAGAUAGAAAUUCCAGUGUCUCUAGGUGGCUAGACAGAAGUUCUGAAAUGAACCUGCAUGAGUUUGUUAGGCACUGUUGCUUGCCACGAGCCUUUCUGUCUCAAAAGCAGCAUGCAUGAAAGCACGUGUACAGAGCACCCUGCUUGUACCUUCCAUUUCCCUUGUGGAGAGUGGAGAGGAAAAGACCACACAUGGUUUAUAUUCUUCAGGACGUUACUGAAAAAGCCUUGGAUACAUUAGAAACAGUAGAUAAGGACCUGAAAGAAAUACUGUCUGACAAAUUUGCAUUUUACAUUUUGUGCCAAAAAGGCUUUUGUUGCCAGCUGUGUGCCUAACAAUGUAAGCUGGCUGUAACACACUGAGAUCGUGAUACUAGGUAUUUUCACUUAAAUCCAUGAUGCUGAGGUUGACUAAACCCAGUUUAAAACUGAUUUGUAUAGCAGUCAUCAAUCCAGGAUUAGAACAAAAGCAAAUUUACCCACACACAGUUGCAGAAUAAAACCUUGACUUAAGGGUAGACAGCAUAAGGAAUUUUAGAAAGAGUUUCAAGAGGAUUUGAGAGGUUUGGGCAGUUUUCCUUUUCUCCUUAUCUCAGUCUAGAAUUUGUCAUCUAUUGAGCACGUACUUGGCAGUAUUCUAUUGGUGAGCAUGCAGGUUAAACAUUUGAUUUAUAUUAGCACUUUUCCUAACUUGUACCCUGCCCCUUCCUUGCUCACCAUGUUUUCAAUUUGAGCUGAUUUAUAAACAGUGGUUAAACCAUGACAUCAGAUUAAUAGAAUUGAUCUGUUUCAGUGGUUCCAUGUUUAAUCUUCAGUGGCAGUGUUGGCUUUUUCCCAUCCUCGUGCUGCUUCUCACGUUGCUUCAGUGUAAACAGCAGUGCAUUUGGUCAGUGAAGCAGACUGGGGACUGAAGGUGAUGCUUGGGAGAGCUGGAGAAAUACAUCCAUGUCUGAAUCAGUUUGCCAGUCUCAUUCUUUGUCUAUAUCCCGCUCCCAAACGCAAGCAAUGACUGGUCCAGUCACUUAUGCUGACACAGAGCACUGUGCUUUGUCAGGGUCAGGAAUAAGCAGUGGAGGAACAGAGGGCAACUUAUAAUGGGCACUAUUGAAAAAUGUAAAAAACAGUCUUUUUCAGCAAGCAUGUAUUUUGAAUAUGAAGAGGUUUGCUCACUCUUGACUGUGGUAAUUUGAUUUGCUUAAUAAAAGGAGGAAUAUAGUCACUGGAGUUCUAUUAACUACCUGAUACACCAGAAUUGGACUUCUUAAUUGUCAUUCAUGAUGAUGGUAUAAAAAUUUUACAAGGGUUUUAACCAAAAAUACAGACUUCAUAUCAAAUGAAGCUACACAAAUACGUAUUGAAAUGCAGACUUGCAAAACAGCAAUUAUAAUAAAAGCAGGCUUAACAUCGUAGCCUUUCAGAUAAAAGUAAAAUGCCUUCUUGUAUAUAGGUGGUGAAAACUGCCAGCUAAAUUUUCAGAGUGAAGACCUAAUUUAGUAAAACUGGUGGACUUUUAUUAGAGAAUUUCUUUCUAGUGGGUUGGCCAGUUAAAUCUCUAGCAUGUGUUGGAAGAACGUAAUGAAAAAGUUACUUGAAUCUUGUAUGAUGCACUUACAGUAAGGAAUUAAGUUCUGCAGAAAACAAAAUGUUUGAGUAGUUUUUCUUCUACAUUUUAUUGUAAAAGUGAAACAGGAACAGAAUUAAUCCCAUUCAGGUUUAGUUAAAUAUGCAAGUGAUGAAUUAUAUACUAGUGUUAAAUUCCCUCAGUUAAACGGUGCUUCUGAUUUUCUUUAAGGCCCUACGAUCGUACCUUCUCUCAAAUGGCAGCUGUAUGUCUAGAAUCAACCUCUAGACUCAUGUGACUAUACUGCUGUUAGCUUUGCAUGGUGACUUCCACAUCUUAAGUGAUUAUUUUAACCUAACUUAGUUUCAGUUAGCUUUUGGGGGAGGGGUUAAUGACUGUGAUAAUUUUCUUAAAGCAAGAUGUUAAUGCAUAGAGAUUUUCCUUGGAUGAUUAACAAGCCUCAGUGCUAAUAAGACAUUCUGUUUUCUGCAGCUAGGAAAAGUGUCUACUUUAAAAUGUUUGCAUAGAUCUUUUCCAUUUCAGUCUGUUCUACUCAUUGUUAAACCCCAAGUUUUGAACUUGACUUUGUCCUUUUUAUUCUCUUGAGAAAAUUAUUCAUUGUUUAACCUUUUGCAUUACAUUGAGUGAUCUCUUUCUUCAACCUGGAGUCUAAUAUUAUUGUCUUAGAAUUAUUCCCCGGUGUGUCUUGCAGAGGAGAGGAGAGAGGGGACUAUGUUUGCUUAUUCUUAUGUCUCUCGUGCUUGUUUUCCCUUGCUUAGUGUGAAGAUAAUCACAAUAUUAAUAAAAGUCUGUUCUUCCUCUAUAGACCUUGCCUCAUUUAUUAUGAAAUUGAAAUAAUAACGAAAAUAAAAUUUAUUACAUUUCAGUUUCUCAUAUUAUGUAGUUGGAAGUCAGUCAUCUCACACUGCUGGUGUGUAUGUAAUAGUGUCACUAAUACUCCACACUAGUAUAUGUUUACUUUAAUCAAUUCUGUAACAAAUUGUCAAUGGGAAUAGUUUCCCUUUAGAGAAAAGGAAUUAAUGUUCUAUAAAAUUAUGGCAAGUACUUUAUAGGAAAGAAACAAAAGGGUGCUUGACCUUGGUUGAAAGAAGACAUCAUGAGGGAAUAACAUGUAAAGGUUACUUCAGUG